rnacentral:rRNA from 1 species
UCCGAAUGGGGAAACCCACUGCUUCGGCAGUAUCUUGCAGUGAAUUCAUAGCUGCUUGAAGCGAACCCGGUGAACUGAAAUAUCUAAGUAACCGGAGGAAAAGAAAUCAACCGAGAUUCCCUGAGUAGUGACGAGCGAACGGGGAACAGCCCUUAAGCUGGAAUGGCUUUAGAAAAACAAUCUGGAAAGAUUGGCCAUAGAAGGUGAUAGCCCUGUAUUUAAAAGGGCCACUCCAGUGAAGACGAGUAGGGCGGGGCACGUGAAACCCUGUCUGAAUAUGGGGGGACCAUCCUCCAAGGCUAAAUACUCCUGACCGACCGAUAGUGAACCAGUACCGUGAGGGAAAGGCGAAAAGAACCCCGGAGAGGGGAGUGAAAUAGAUCCUGAAACCGUGUGCGUACAAGCAGUAGGAGCUCGCAAGAGUGACUGCGUACCUUUUGUAUAAUGGGUCAGCGACUUACUGUUCGUGGCAAGCUUAACCGUAUAGGGGAGGCGAAGGGAAACCGAGUCUGAUAAGGGCGCAUAGUCGCGGGCAGUAGACCCGAAACCGGGUGAUCUAGUCAUGGCCAGGGUGAAGGUGCCGUAACAGGUACUGGAGGCCCGAACCCACGUCUGUUGCAAAAGACGGGGAUGAGCUGUGAUUAGGAGUGAAAAGCUAAUCGAACCCGGAGAUAGCUGGUUCUCCUCGAAAGCUAUUUAGGUAGCGCCUCAUAUGUAUCCUCUCGGGGGUAGAGCACUGUUAUGGCUAGGGGGUCAUCGCGACUUACCAAACCAUUGCAAACUCCGAAUACCGAGACGGACUGUAUGGGAGACACACGGCGGGUGCUAACGUCCGUCGUGAAAAGGGAAACAACCCAGACCCACAGCUAAGGUCCCAAAUUCACUGCUAAGUGGAAAACGAUGUGGAAAGGCAUAGACAGCCAGGAGGUUGGCUUAGAAGCAGCCACCCUUUAAAGAAAGCGUAAUAGCUCACUGGUCGAGUCGGUCUGCGCGGAAGAUUUAACGGGGCUAAGCAGUGAACCGAAGCUUGGGGUGCAUAAAACUUGUUUUAUGCGCGGUAGAGGAGCGUUCCGUAAGCCUGCGAAGGUGGAUUGAGAAGUCUGCUGGAGGUAUCGGAAGUGCGAAUGCUGACAUGAGUAACGAUAAUGCGGGUGAAAAGCCCGCACGCCGAAAGCCCAAGGUUUCCUUGCGCAACGUUAAUCGACGCAGGGUUAGUCGGUCCCUAAGGCGAGGGCGAAAGCCGUAGUCGAUGGGAAGCAGGUUAAUAUUCCUGCACCUCGCGUGAGUGCGAUGGAGGGACGGAGAAGGUUAGGUGUACCGGGCGUUGGUUGUCCCGGGGAAAGGCGGUAGGUUUGGAUCUUUGGCAAAUCCGGGAUCCUUUAAGACCGAGCACCGAGACGAGCCUUUAUGGCAAAGUCACUGAUACCACGCUUCCAGGAAAAGCUCCUAAGCUUCAGCUCACGAAGACCGUACCGUAAACCGACACAGGUGGGUAGGAUGAGAAUUCUCAGGCGCUUGAGAGAACUCGGGUGAAGGAACUAGGCAACAUGGCACCGUAACUUCGGGAGAAGGUGCACCCUUUUUGGUGGCUCGUGCGAGCUAUAGCUGAAGAGGGUCGCAGAAACCAGGCCGCUGCGACUGUUUAUCAAAAACACAGCACUCUGCAAACACGAAAGUGGACGUAUAGGGUGUGACGCCUGCCCGGUGCUGGAAGGUUAAUUGAUGGGGUCAGCCGCAAGGCGAAGCUCUUGAUCGAAGCCCCAGUAAACGGCGGCCGUAACUAUAACGGUCCUAAGGUAGCGAAAUUCCUUGUCGGGUAAGUUCCGACCUGCACGAAUGGCGUAACGACAGCGGCGCUGUCUCCACCCGAGACUCAGUGAAAUUGAAAUCGCUGUGAAGAUGCAGCGUUCCCGUGGCAAGACGGAAAGACCCCGUGAACCUUUACUAUAGCUUUACACUGAACGUUGAGUUCGUCUGUGUAGGAUAGGUGGGAGGCUAUGAAACUGUGGCGCUAGCUGCAGUGGAGCCAUCCUUGAAAUACCACCCUGUCGUGCUUGACGUUCUAACCUAGAUCCGUUAUCCGGAUCAGGGACCGUGUAUGGUGGGUAGUUUGACUGGGGCGGUCUCCUCCUAAAGAGUAACGGAGGAGCACGAAGGUACGCUCAGCGCGGUCGGACAUCGCGCACUGUGUGCAAAGGCAUAAGCGUGCUUGACUGCAAGAUCGACGGAUCAAGCAGGUACGAAAGUAGGUCUUAGUGAUCCGGUGGUUCUGUAUGGAAGGGCCAUCGCUCAACGGAUAAAAGGUACUCCGGGGAUAACAGGCUGAUACCGCCCAAGAGUUCAUAUCGACGGCGGUGUUUGGCACCUCGAUGUCGGCUCAUCACAUCCUGGGGCUGUAGUCGGUCCCAAGGGUAUGGCUGUUCGCCAUUUAAAGUGGUACGCGAGCUGGGUUCAGAACGUCGUGAGACAGUUCGGUCCCUAUCUGCCAUGGGCGUUGGAAGUUUGAGAGGGGCUGCUCCUAGUACGAGAGGACCGGAGUGGACGAACCUCUGGUGUUCCGGUUGUCACGCCAGUGGCAUUGCCGGGUAGCUAUGUUCGGAAGCGAUAACCGCUGAAAGCAUCUAAGCGGGAAGCGCGCCUCAAGAUGAGACUUCCCGGGGCACAAGCCCCCUAAAGGAACCAUAUAGACUAUGUGGUUGAUAGGUCAGGUGUGU